rnacentral:lncRNA from 1 species
AAAGCCCAAUAUUUCCCCCUUCUCCCGAAGCGUCCAGGCGACAUCGAGCCAUCCUCCACCGUUGCGCCGCCGUGCUCACCCCACACCGUCCGGUCGUGCUCGCCCCCGUCCAGAUCCACCACGCAUGGUCUAUGCAGAUCGUUGCUCUCCUACACUGCCGCCUCUCCUUGCCGCCAGUGAGUCGAUCCCCCCUCCCCCUCCCUGAUCCCCAUGCUUGGCCGCCCCGGAUCCAAAUCCACAACCCCAGCGCUCUAGAAUAUGGAUUUCACAGCAUACUCUUUUUUUGUGUGUGAUGCAUCUUCUAGGAGGGACAGAGAACAGGGGGAUUGAGACCGUGGAGGAAAGGCUACAGGUGUCGGCGCCGCCCAACAGGAGCCCGUGAUGGCCGGUCGGCUCGGACGACAGCGCCGGCAUCUACAUGACCUUGAUGAAGUCCGACCCCAGCUCCACCUCUGCACUGGCCAUGACACCAUGACGCCCCAGCUACCUAGGUGAUGCUGCAUAUUUCCUCUUGUAUUUGUGGCUUAUUGUUUGAUACACGAAUAGUAUAAGGGUCUCAGAUUCAGUACAAUGUUACGCUUGUGUGCGAACCUUUUUUGUUGUUGCUGCAAAUUGUUGUGUGCAUUGUCUUGACCGUGAGUUAGUUAUUUAGCCAAAUGAGGUGUUCAACUGGUCGAUUGUCUAGUUUUUUAGGAACUAAUUACAAGCAGUACAAACACAUGGGAGGUUCAUUCAAAGUUUUUAGCUACGUACUAGCUGUGGAUUGUUUGAGAGCUCCCUCGCACUACAAUUUUAGGAUUUUAUAGCCAUUUGCAGUUGCUUCUUUUAUUUAGAGCUCAGGGAGUGAAAGGUUGUGAAAUUCACAUGACCUCUGUUUCUUCAUAGAUAAGGCCAUCACCUCGACUUUUAAAAUUUAGUGAUGACACUGUUAUCCUUUUAGGGAUAGCUGUAACUGAAGAAUAGCUCCUGAUUUCCAGACCUUGGGCAUCAGACUGAUUUCCUUUAGAUCUGUAUACUUUCCAGGAGAUAGGAAACUAAGGUCAGGAUCCCAGAACAUCCGCAAGUACAAUUUCAGAACUUCAUGGUAAAAAUGUCCAUUAUAUAAUAAUACCUUAUUAGAUUAUGCAAUGCUCAGUUGCGUUUUUCUAAUCUAAGUUGGUCAUUGUGCUAGUAUUAAACUUUUCUGGUUAAAGUUUAAUUUUGUAUUUGUCUUGCACUACAGGCUUUUUAUUGAUGAACCUAUUUAGUAUAUACCCCCAGUUAUCUUGAUAAUUGUUUUUGUAUUCUUAUCUAUGCUAAUUUCCUUUAACUUAAUUAGCUCAAUCAGAGGGUUCUAUGUCUAUAGACUAAAUACUCGAAAGCCGCUCUUCAUCAUCUUUUUGUUUAAUCCAUUCGUAGCAUAAUAGCCUCUACAUGCUAAGAUGUUAUAUUAUCUCAGCAGGUUCACACAUUUAGGAUGUAGAAAUUAGUGCAUUUGCAGUAGUUGUGCACAACAUAUAUUUCAUAUUAUAUUUUUGUUUCUUUUGUUGGACUAUCCUGUCAAAUUCAGCAAGGAAGUUAGUGUUUUUCUAUAUAAAGGGUUGCUAUUUCAUAACAACAAGGAACUAUAGAGCAGUUCCGUCAGGCAAAUUGCUUCUGUUCUCCCGAGAUAUUUCCUGAAUCCAAGUUUGAUGCCUACAGCACAUGGCACAUCUUCAGGUUAUAUAUGAUUCAACAUUGGAUGUCCAAUUUAUGGUUUUUUUGUAGUACUUCGUAAAUCUAACGAUGGCUUUAGUAGGCUCAUUAUUGAUUGCUAAAAAUCGGUAUAACAUUUUGACAACACAUAUAUUGUAGAAAAUUAAUUUACGCAUGUGCUUUGUUAUGUUGCGAGGUUAUUGUACCGAGGAGAAGUUUCUAGAUCAACUACUAUUUGAGAAUUCAAUGACAAACUAGGUUUUGGUGAUAAUCAUAGUUGAGAUCUAUUUACAGGCUUUCACUUGCAUCACAAAUUCUCAUGAUCAUGAUUGAUUUUUAAGUAUCAUAGAAGUGUGUUUGAAGUUUCAUCAUUUGUGUUUCUAUAGAGCUCCCAGCCUGCACCCUUCGCUGCUCGCAUGCGUGCUGGAUCCGGCCGCGGUCGAGUGCGUGCUAGUGGCGCACAGCGUGCUUGCGUCGGAGCCGGAGCUCACGCGCGCACCGGCAUCCGAGUUCACGUGCACGCAUCUGCGUGUCUGACGCGGAGGCCAGAGCUCACACCCGUGUCUGCGUCUGGACGAGCAUGGUGGCUGCCACCGCCGCGUGCACGCGCCGGACCACCUCGCAUACCCGCGCGUAUCGCGUUCCUCGGGCCGGAGCUCGUUAGCACUGUCUCCGGUCUGUGUGCAUGUGAGUUGUUCGAUGAAAUGCCGCACACAGAGAGAAGAAGUGGGGGUCACAGUUAUUUUGGAGCAAAAAAUAGAGGAUUGCCCGGACGCGCCCGGACACUGACUGGGCGUGCCUGCGGAUGUAUGAGGGGCCAAAUUUGCCCAGUGCCGCUGUAGAUGCUCUAACAUAUGGUUUUUCUUGAUAGGUUCUGAAACUAGACAGCCAAAAUGUCAAUACUUUAUAUGAAAGGGCUCAAGCUUACACUCAUCUUGCUAACCUGGAGUUAGAAUAGGUUGACAUUAAGAAGGCACUAGAAAUCGAUCCUGAAAACAGGCAAGUUCCAUUGAAUGGUCUAUUAUAUAAACCUUAAUUUAAUACUUAGAACUUUACACUGUCAAUUUGAUUUUGAUGUCGCCGCUACUUACUUAAUUUGAUACUAAGAAGCAUGCACUGUCAAUUUGAUUUUGAUGUCGCAGCAACUUACAGGGAUGUGAAGUUAACAUACAAUGCUGAAGGAGAAGAUCAAGGAAAUCAAUAAGGAUGCCGAUUUCUACAGCGAUAUGUUUGCCAUGAUGUUGGCUAGCUGUAGCAAAUUGUAGCUAGCUAGCCAAUUUUAGACAAACAUGCAGUGGUUGGUUAGUUUAGUUAGCCUGUUGUAGCUAAUUGUAGCUAGCUAGCCUAAUUCUGGACAAACAUGCGGUGCUGGUGAUAUUAUGGCAUCUGAUGUGUAUAUGUGAUUACUGAUAUCCGGAGUUAUCUAUAUUAAUUAUAUGAUUUGACUUAUGAUCCAUAAUUAUGGCUUGCUUUUGAAUUAUGGCAAUUUUGAAUUCAAAUUUAGAUUCAUAUGAAAAUCUUUCAAUGGUACGGUGGUGUGGUAAUGCACAGGGACCCACAAUCUUUCCCUAGUGCUCAUGGCUGUAGGUAAACAACCUUUCCACGUUGGACACCACAUCCAUAUGAAAAUCUUCCCCUAG